GGGGGAUAUUCAAAACCAUCCGACAUCGAGUAACAUUGGAGGACAAGUCUGGUGCCAGCACCCGCGGUAAUUCCAGCUCCAAGAGCGUAUAUUAACGCUGUUGCUGUUAAAGGGUUCGUAGUUGAAUUGUGGAGUAUGGCCACGGGAUUCAGUCCUUUUCCCACGGUCUAGGAACGUCCCGACCAUACUCCGAGAACGUCAGAAACUAAGAUCGCGGAAGCGUUUUUUACAAACUGCCACCGACUACGCGAGCAAUGUUCGCUGGUGGACGUCCGUGUUUUUUACUGUGACUAAAGAAGUGCGACCAAGGCAGUCCAUCGACAUGAAUUAGAAAGCAUGGGAUAACAAAGCAGCAGCCUAUGAGCUACCGUUUAGGCUUUUGUUGGUUUUAAAGGUUCGUGGGAGAUUACGGGCGUGUAGGACCGGCGUUGGGGGUUUUCCAAAAUC
rnacentral:rRNA from 1 species